AAGUAAAUUGAGACCGUCUAUAAAAGCACUUGGCGCAAAUACAACGCAGCUAGUAUCUAACCGAUGUUAAAAGAAGAGAAUUUUCGAUUAAAAUUGAACCGAAUAAUUUGUCUGUUCUAAAUUUCUGAAUUUGGAAGCUUUAUUGAAGAAUCUUAGUCAGUCAUUUAAAAUAACGGUUGAGUCUUGGCACAUAAAAAAAAUUAAGAAAAGAACAGAAAAAGUUAUAUACAUACAUGAAACACGUAUAUUAAAUAUAAUAAUUUAUCCUUCAAUUUACUUGAUAUAGCGUUAUUUGCGAUCAUCAUCGCUAACAUUGUGUGUGCCUUCGAUGCAUCAAUGUUAUUUAGCGGCAAGACUGAAACUAUAUUUGCUAAUCUAUCUACAGCGAUUAUAACAUAUGUAGAAUUAAAGGAUAUAUCAAGUCUAAAAGAUCCAUCGUAUAUAAAACAAUUGUUACACAGAGAAAACACAGUAUUUAGUCCUAUCAAUAUAAUUAUGAUAACAUCCUUACUUUUAAACG